CUUUGAAUCAGCCAUGCUGUUAGUUACUGAUGCCAUCCGGGCUUUGAUGUUCUCAGAGCACAUGGUAACAUGGACAUUGCUAUCUGACCACAGUAUGAGAAGCGAGGCUUGAGGAACCAUAUGAGGAUGUGCUGUGGCUUACUGAAAAGAUAAGACUGCAGAAUGCACCAGUCAAAGUGGAUUUGUCAAUCACCUGAAGAAGAGCCAUCUUGUCCUUCCCUUAAUGAACCAGUACCCCAGGAAUUCUGAGCUGCUGCAUAUGUAACAAUAUUCAAGAUAAUUCCAUUGCAUUACUAAACUCACAAACAUGAAGACAUUUUUUUUAGUAUUAAUAAUAAAUUCCAGACCUUUUUUUUUGUGCAGUCAGUCUCUCACCAUUCAUUCUGUGGUGCAAUGAUAAAAGAAGGAAAUGAGAAAUGGAAGUUCUGGCACUAAAAGACAAGCUCACAGCAGAAUGAAAAGGAAGUAUCUCUACAAAAUUAUCAUUGAAGAGGUGUAUUACAGGAAAGAAGUGUCAAAAAUCUUCUCUGUGAAUUCAUAUCUGAGGACAAGAGAGUUUUCACCUUAUAUUCUUUGUAAUAGUACAAAAUGUGAACUGUCUUAUUUAAUCAGAAAAAUGCAAAUGCAUUUAAUAAAAGUUUUGUAAUUGGCAUGUGUUUAUUUGAUUUCAUUUUUACAGUGGAGCCACUUUGGCUCCUUUACUAUGGCUUUCUUUUAGAUCUUCACUUUCGAAGAAAAGAGAAGCAAAUUGUAUUUCAGUUUAAAAGCCUUUGUCAUAAGUAACACAAAACUUCGUCAUCUGGACUGCUAACACCCAGAUCUGGUCUCCUCCUAACACCGUGUCAGCUCUGAGCCUUUUUGCCCUUGCACAGCCAAUUUGAUCACAGGAAUACAAAAAUUGAUAGUUUGGGGGUUUUGUUAUAGUUGGUUCUUUUCUCUUUUUUCCACCAUGUCACUGCACAGGCUACAGGAAAAAAAAAAAUUCCAUCUAUUUCUGCUUACUGUAAUGAAGCACAGCUGAUCUUAGGAGAGAUGUAGUAGCACAAAUAACAACUAAAGCCACAAUGAGUAAUUUCAGCAGAAAUUAAGUAAUUGGAAGACCUUCUUGUGAACUGGACACAACGUGAUACAUUCACUCCAGAGAUUUUCAACAGUGGAAUUACACAAAGAUUUAAUGUGGCCACGGGCAAGAAACUUGAUCAUGCCAAGAGGAGUGGCAUCUACUAUGUCAAUACAUACAUCAGUCAUCAGUACAGCAACCUGAUACAGCAAACAACUUCAAACGCAGCUGGACUGCAUAAUCCCUUGAAAAAUGAACUGAUGUGAGCUCAUCUGGGUAUGGGUAAAAGAAACCCAUCAGAGGUCAAGGAGCAUUCCACAGAAGCAGUUAUGCAAAAUGAACAAAUUGUACCCACCUAUGAGAAGGCACAGAAACAUGCCCUGGGACAUUUCCCAAAGUGUAGAGGAAAAAUGAGCAGAAAGAAGGCAGCAAAGCAUAAUCAGGCCUUAAGCUCUCUCUUAAGGAUGGUGCAAAGAAAAGAUUUCCAAUGACUUGUCCUUCCUCGUGGUUGGUGGGAUUCAGGCUGCCCAAGACUGAACAAAUGACCCCCACUUAGAGAAGAGUGAAACUCUGAGGAAAAAGAGAUACUGAUGAGAGCCUAUAGCUUAAUGGACUUUACCACAGGAAAAGCUGGGAUGCCAUAGGGCAUUACAACCCUAAUUCACUAACUUGUUGAGCCAUCUUAGCUCAGGACUAGUCUUUCCUGAUUAAAAGAGACUUUCACCUCUAGUCUUCCUGAUUAAAAUAGACUACCUACUAAAUUACAUUUCCAAGAUCUCAGUAUUUGUCAUGAAGCUUUCAACCACAUAAGCUGUUUUUACAAUCUGCCUUUCUACAACAUUUUGAGUGAUUUGCCCAUAAACUGUGAAGCCUUGUUAUUUGUAAAUGGCACCUUUGCCCAAACAACACAGUU